GCAGAGGUGGCGGAGCCUGGCCAAACGUGGGGGACUCAAGAUCCCCUCUCCUAGGAGUACGCGGGUUCGAAUCCCGCCCUCUGCA
rnacentral:tRNA from 1 species